rnacentral:rRNA from 1 species
AUGUUGACUAUUUUAGAUGGCAACAUAUUUCGUGAAUCCGGGCUAUUUCCUGUGUCCGUGUAUCCCUUCUUUCUCAGCCCCACGAUCUUAAUCCCGAGAAUUAGCAGCCUUAGUGGAUACCCUGACCGUGUGUGUGCCUCGUGCGCCGCCGCCGUCAAACUCCAGGCGUCUCUGAUUUCCGUUGAGUUGAUCCCGACGUCCACCGGCAGGCAGCCCAUACAGACACACGAGGGCACCAAAAGUUUGAGCAGUAUGGAUCCUAUGAAUAACGUUCAAAUGCAUACGAGCCAGGGAGGAUUUAGUACGCCCAAAAAGAACAGAGACAUACCUCUCUUCUCUUCGUCUUUUAUGCCUGAAUGUAAUGAGCAUCUGAAGCCUAAAGUGGGUAUGACAUUUGAAGGACUCGAGGCCGUGGAGAAGUUCUACAAGGAAUAUGCACAUCAAUCAGGUUUUGGUGUUCGCAUUGGACAACAAAAAAAGAUUGAGAAUAAGGUGGUUCAUACUAAGCGUUUCAUGUGUAAUAGAGAAGGAUUCAAGGCAAAAGAUAGUAAAGAGACUAAUGACCCCUUGAGGAAAAGGCGUAAGCAGACAGAUACGCGAUGCGGUUGUGAUGUCCAUAUCUUUGUUAGACUUUGUGGGGAGAACACCUACAAGAUAGACUCACUGAUUGAGCACCACGUUCAUGGUCUUGUAUCGCCGAAGAAGCGUCAUUUGUCAGAUCAAAUCAUAGAGUUAGCAUACAGGCUCCUGCAAGUUAGUGAUGGUGGAAUUCCGAAUGCUGGGUGCACAAAGAGGGACUUGCAGAAUUACUACCGCGGACUCAGGUAUAAAAUCAGAGAUGAAGAUGCUCAAAUGUUUGUGGCCCAAUUAGCUAGAAAGCAGGAAGUGAAUUCAGCUUUUUUCUAUGAUUUUGAGGUGAAUGAUGAGGGGGAGUUGUGUCAAUACAUGCAUAUUUGUUGCCUCUUUAUUUUUGUUCAGACCUGCAUCGUCCAGGAGGACACAAUGGAGUUAGUACAUGUUCAGAAAAUUUUACAUAGUGACUUUUGCUUACGGUUUGAUCUCAAAACUUUCUCGUCUACAGCUUCCUUUGAAGGAAUCAUAGCGGCCGGGGAAGGCCAUCCAGGAGAUGGCGCCUCAUCAGAGAUGCUUCGUCACCAGCGCGGAACAACGCCAGUUCGUGAUGACUUCGCCAUCGAGACCACCGUCCGGGCCUUCGUUGACGUCGCUGGUGGCCGUGGGGUUGCCAUUGUCGUCGCCACUUGCUUCCAUCGCCAGAGGACUUCUAGGGAAUCGACCGGGCCAUGGUUGCCGGCUUGCCGCUGUAGGAGACCUUCCGAUUGGAAUUUGAUUUUGGAGGAGAUGCGGCGGAUUGGGCAAAGAGGAUUUGGAGGCGCACAACUAGGCAUUGGGUUGGGGAUCUUGCGUCAGAUGUAA